rnacentral:lncRNA from 1 species
AAGUAAUCGGUGCCGUCGAUAUUGCGGGUUACGGAGUAGGAGUCCUCUGUCGAAGAUUAGUUUGUUAGCUAUAUACCACUGGUUUUGUUUCGCAUAGAGACCCGAUAACCUUACUCAUGCAUCCAUUGACUGCGCACAAGUCGCAAUGUGAUUGAAGAUUUUCCUAACCACCAUGAGUCAAUCAUGCAUAUACAACAUGUUUCACCAGAUCAUAGCAUACCGCAUCCCCCAUCUCCGCAUAUUGUAAUUGAGACCUUAUCAGCCAUGUUACCUCGCU